rnacentral:rRNA from 1 species
GAACGCAGCGAAAUGCGAUAAGUAAUGUGAAUUGCAGAAUUCAGUGAAUCAUCGAAUCUUUGAACGCACCUUGCGCUCCUUGGUAUUCCGAGGAGCAUGCCUGUUUGAGUGUCAUUAAAUUCUCAACC